CCUACGUGAGGCAGCAGUGAGGAAUAUUGGUCAAUGGGCGCGAGCCUGAACCAGCCAAGUAGCGUGAAGGAUGACUGCCCUAUGGGUUGUAAACUUCUUUUAUAAAGGAAUAAAGUGAGGCACGUGUGCCUUUUUGUAUGUACUUUAUGAAUAAGGAUCGGCUAACUCCGUGCCAGCAGCCGCGGUAAUACGGAGGAUCCGAGCGUUAUCCGGAUUUAUUGGGUUUAAAGGGAGCGUAGAUGGGUUGUUAAGUCAGUUGUGAAAGUUUGCGGCUCAACCGUAAAAUUGCAAUUGAUACUGGCAGUCUUGAGUACAGUUGAGGUAGGCGGAAUUCGUGGUGUAGCGGUGAAAUGCUUAGAUAUCACGAAGAACUCCGAUUGCGAAGGCAGCUUACUAAACUGCCACUGACAUUGAUGCUCGAAAGUGUGGGUAUCAAACAGGAUUAGAUACCCUUGUAGUC
rnacentral:rRNA from 1 species